GACGAACGCUGGCGGCGUGCUUAACACAUGCAAGUCGAACAGAAAGGCCCUGCUUUUGUGGGGUGCUCGAGUGGCGAACGGGUGAGUAACACGUGAGUAACCUGCCCUUGACUUUGGGAUAACUUCAGGAAACUGGGGCUAAUACCGGAUAGGAGCUCCUGCUGCAUGGUGGGGUUUGGAAAGUUUCGGCGGUUGGGGAUGGACUCGCGGCUUAUCAGCUUGUUGGUGGGGUAGUGGCUUACCAAGGCUUUGACGGGUAGCCGGCCUGAGAGGGUGACCGGCCACAUUGGGACUGAGAUACGGCCCAGACUCCUACGGGAGGCAGCAGUGGGGAAUAUUGCACAAUGGGCGGAAGCCUGAUGCAGCAACGCCGCGUGCGGGAUGACGGCCUUCGGGUUGUAAACCGCUUUCGCCUGUGACGAAGCGUGAGUGACGGUAAUGGGUAAAGAAGCACCGGCUAACUACGUG
rnacentral:rRNA from 1 species